UCAAGUUACAAAGGGCGCAGGGCGGAUGCCUUGGCACCAGGAGCCGAAGAAGGACGUGAUAAGCUGCGAAAAGCUGCGGGGAGGAGCAAAUAUCCAUUGAUCCGCAGGUAUCCGAAUGGGGAAACCCGGCAGAAAGAACUUCUGUCACCGUAUGAUGAAUCCAUAGUCAUACGGAGGGAACCCGGCGAACUGAAACAUCUAAGUAGCCGGAGGAAGAGGAAGAAACAUCGAAUCCCUAAGUAGUGGCGAGCGAAAGGGGACGAAGCCCAAACCAAGGAUUUAUCCUUGGGGUUGAGGACCACAUACGAAGAAGCAGUAGGUAGCAGAACGGUUUUGGGAAAGCCGGCCAUAGAGAGUGAAAGCCUCGUAUGCGAAACAGACUGUGAUUCAGUGGUAUCCGGAGUACUACGGGACACGAGAAACCCCGUAGGAAGCAGGGGGGACCACCCCCCAAGGCGAAAUACUACCUGGUGACCGAUAGAGUAUAGUACCGUGAGGGAAAGGUGAAAAGAACCCCGGGAGGGGAGUGAAAGAGAACCUGAAACCCUGUGUCUACAAGCUGCGGAAGAGCGACUAACGCUCGACCGUGUACUUUUUGUAGAACGGUCCGGCGAGUUGCCGUUGCUGGCAGGUUAAGUACUUAAGGUACGGAGCCGAAGGGAAACCAAGUCUUAAUAGGGCGGUAAGUCAGUAACGGCAGACCCGAAACCGGGUGACCUACCCAUGGCCAGGAUGAAGUCUGCGUAAAAGUGGAUGGAGGUCCGAACACACGUCUGUUGAAAAAGGCGGUGAUGAGCUGUGGGUAGCGGAGAAAUUCCAAUCGAACUCGGAGAUAGCUGGUUCUCCCCGAAAUAGCUUUAGGGCUAGCCUCGGUAUAGUCUAAUGGAGGUAGAGCACUGAAUCGCUGCGGGGGCGUCAAAGUCUACCAAUGCGUAUCAAACUCCGAAUGCCAUAUAGAUGUUUACCGGGAGUCAGACUGUAUGAGAUAAGUCGGACAGUCAAAAGGGAAACAGCCCAGACCAUCUGCUAAGGUCCCAAAGUGUAUGUUAAGUGGUAAAGGAUGUGGGGUUUCGAAGACAACUAGGAUGUUGGCUCAGAAGCAGCCAUUCAUUCAAAGAGUGCGUAAUAGCUCACUAGUCGAGAGGUCCUGCGCCGAAAAUGUCCGGGGCUGAAACAUAACACCGAAGCAAUGGAAUAUACCGCAAGGUAUGUUGGUAGGGGAGCAUUGAUAACACGAAGAAGCGGUACCGUAAGGAGCCGUGGAGAGUUAUCAAGAGAGAAUGCCGGAAUGAGUAGCGAGAUGAAGGUGAGAAUCCUUCAGGCCGUAUAUCCAAGGUUUCCAGGGUAAAGCUGAUCUUCCCUGGGGAAGUCGGGACCUAAGCUCAGGCUGAGAAGCGUAGGCGAUGGACAACUGGUUGAUAUUCCAGUACCUCUGGCUAUCAGAAAUGUGGGGACACGGAGAUUCAGGGAGUGCCUGUAAAGGAUUCAGGUGCAAGCAUGGUUUAUGCCGGGCAGGCAAAUCCGUCCGGGUAAGUGAACUGUGUGAUGCGGACCGAAAUAUAAGUAGGGAAGCUCCUGGGAGAGCCGUCGAGAAAAGCCGCUAUUGUGUAGUCAGAGCCCGUACCGUAAACCGACACAGGUGGAUGGGGAGAGUAUCCCAAGGCCGGCGGGAGAAGCAUUGUUAAGGAACUCGGCAAAAUGGCCCCGUAAGUUCGCGAUAAGGGGUGCCUGUAGAGAUACAGGCCGCAGAGAAUAGGCUCAAGCAACUGUUUAGCAAAAACACAGGUCUAUGCGAAACCGUAAGGUGAUGUAUAUGGGCUGACGCCUGCCCGGUGCUGGAAGGUUACGGGGAGUGCUUAGGAGCAAUCCGAAGGUACGAACUUAAGCCCCAGUAAACGGCGGCCGUAACUAUAACGGUCCUAAGGUAGCGAAAUUCCUUGUCGGGU
rnacentral:rRNA from 1 species